rnacentral:rRNA from 1 species
UACAGAGGGUGCAAGCGUUGUUCGGAAUUAUUGGGCGUAAAGCGCGUGUAGGCGGCCCGGUAAGUCCGCUGUGAAAGUCGGGGGCUCAACCCUCGGAUGCCGGUGGAUACUGUCGGGCUUGAGUACGGAAGAGGCGAGUGGAAUUCCUGGUGUAGCGGUGAAAUGCGCAGAUAUCAGGAAGAACACCUAUGGCGAAGGCAGCACUCUGGGACGGUACUGACGCUGAGACGCGAAAGCGUGGGGAGCGAACAGG